AUGUCCAGCUCCUUCUAUUCUAUAGUUCCUUCCCCCUUUCCUUCACCACCAGCUGGAGCGCAGUCUUCGCCGGUCUCAAGACAGACCCCAACCCCAAGCGGGCACGGUGACAAGACUUUGAUGUGGGGUUCGGAAGAUAGGCUUGCAACGGAUUCAACCGAUCGAUUCCCCGUGGCAUAUAAAGAUUGGCGAAGCAUAAGGUUAGUAACAUCGGUGCUGAUAACUUCCUUUUCUCCUUCGGGGGUGGGCUUUGUAGGAGUUGGGCGAGAUGCAAGACUUUUUCCUCAAGGAGUUAGAGCAGAAGUUGUUUACUCGUAUAAAAGAAUAAGACCGACUUACCAUUCUAUUAAAUAA